GGAGAUGUAUCUCAGAAGUAGAGCAAUUGCUUUGCAUGCAAAAGGUUCUAGGUUUGAUCCCUGACAUUUCCA